rnacentral:lncRNA from 1 species
CACCUGUGAGGUCACCUGUGGGUCACCUGCAGGUCACAGGGUCACCAGUGAGGUCACCUGUGAGGUCACAGGGUCACCUGUGGGGUCACCUGUGAGGUCACCCGUGGGGUCACAGGGUCACCUGUGGGGUCACCUGUGGGGUCACCUGUGGGUCACGGGGUCACCUGUGAGGUCACGGGGUCACCUGUGGGUCACAGGGUCACCUGCGGGGUCACCUGUGGGGUCACCUGUGAGGUCACCCGUGGGGUCACAGUGUCACCUGUGGGGUCACCUGCAGGUCACAGGGUCACCUGUGAGGUCACCCGUGGGGUCACAGGGUCACCUGCGGGGUCACAGUGCCACCUGUGAGGUCACCUUUGGGUCACCUGCAGGGUCACAGUGCCACUCAUGGGGUCACAGGGUCACCCAUGGGGUCACAGGGUCACCAGUGAGGUCACGGGGUCACCUGUGGGGUCACGGGGUCACCUGUGAGGUCACCUUUGGGUCACCUGCAGGGUCACAGUGCCACCCCUGGGGUCACAGGGUCACCAGUGAGGUCACCUGUGAGGUCACAGUGUCACCCUUGGGGAGUGGGCGUGGCCUCCGUGGUGGUGGGGUCACUCACGGGGUCACCCCUGGGGUCACAGGGUCACCCACAAGGUCACAGUGCCACUCUCGGGGUCACAGUGCCACCCAUGGGGACGUGGGGUCACCCAUGGGGUUGUGGGGUCACCCACAGCGAUGUGGGGGUCACCCAUGGGGUCACGGGGUCACCUGCAGGGUCACAGUGUCACCCAAGGGGUCACAAGGUCACCCAGGGGGUCACAGGGUCACCCACGGGGUCACGGGGCCACCACAGUGUCACCCAUGGGGUCACAGUGUCACCUGCAGGGUCACGGGGUCACCACAGUGUCACCUGCAGGGUCACAGUGUCACCCAGGUGGUCACAGUGUCACCUGCAGGGUCACGGGGUCACCUGCAGGGUCACAGUGUCACCCAUGGGGUCACAGUGUCACCACAGUGUCACCCGUGGGGUCAUAGUGUCACCCGGAGCUGUCCCCUGGGGCUGCGUUGGUGGCCAUGGUGUCACCCUUGGGGACAGGGUGGCACAGAUCAUCUUCCUGGUGCCACUUUGGGGACAAAACGUGUCCAGCUGUCCCCGUCCUCAUCCCGGUCACCGCCGGUGUCACCUCAGGUGCCACCAGAGCCGUCCUCGGCCUCGCCGGUGUCACAGGGACCGCGUCAGCGCUGUCCUCGAUGUCACCUGCUGCCACACGGGCCUGGCCUUGUCACCUCCAGUG